UACGGGGGGGGCAAGCGUUGUUCGGAAUUACUGGGCGUAAAGGGUUUGUAGGUGGCUCGCUAAGUCAGACGUGAAAUCCCUCAGCUUAACUGGGGAACUGCGUCUGAGACUGGCGAGCUUGAGUGCAGGAGAGGAACGCGGAAUUCCAGGUGUAGCGGUGAAAUGCGUAGAUAUCUGGAGGAACACCGGUGGCGAAGGUGGCGUUCUGGACUGCAACUGACACUGAGGAACGAAAGCCAGGGGAGCAAACGGG
rnacentral:rRNA from 1 species